UGGGCGUAAGGGCUCGCAGGCGGUUUCUUAAGUCUGAUGUGAAAGCCCCCGGCUCAACCGGGGAGGGUCAUUGGAAACUGGGGAACUUGAGUGCAGAAGAGGAGAGUGGAAUUCCACGUGUAGCGGUGAAAUGCGUAGAGAUGUGGAGGAACACCAGUGGCGAAGGCGACUCUCUGGUCUGUAACUGACGCUGAGGAGCGAAAGCGUGGGGAGCGAACAGGAUUAGAUACCCUGGUAGUCCACGCCGUAAACGAUGAGUGCUAAGUGUUAGGGGGUUUCCGCCCCUUAGUGCUGCAGCUAACGCAUUAAGCACUCCGCCUGGGGAGUACGGUCGCAAGACUGAAACUCAAAGGAAUUGACGGGGGCCCGCACAAGCGGUGGAGCAUGUGGUUUAAUUCGAAGCAACGCGAAGAACCUUACCAGGGCUUGACAUCCUGGGACUUUCCUAAAGAUAGGACGUCCCCUUCGGGGGCCUAGUGACAGGUGUUGCAUGGUUGCCGUCACCUCGUGUCGUGAAAGGUUGGGUUAAGUCCC
rnacentral:rRNA from 1 species